rnacentral:rRNA from 1 species
UACGUAGGGGGCAAGCGUUGUCCGGAAUCAUUGGGCGUAAAGGGCGCGUAGGCGGCCCGGUAAGUCAAAGGUGAAAUCCCUCGGCUCAACUGAGGAACUGCCUUUGAAACUGUCGGGCUUGAGGCCGGGAGGGGGUAGCGGAAUUCCCAGUGUAGCGGUGAAAUGCGUAGAUAUUGGGAGGAACACCAGUGGCGAAGGCGGCUACCUGGACCGGUUCUGACGCUGAUGCGCGAAAGCGUGGGUAGCAAACAGG